UCGAUUACUCUCUUAAUCUGUCUUUAUAUAUAUAUAUAUAUAUAUAUAUAUAUAUAUAUAUAUAUAUAUAUAUAUAUAUAUAUAUAUAUAUAUAUAUAUAUAUAUGUGUGUGUGUGUGUGUGUGUGUGUGUGUGUGUGUGUUUUCAAUAACAAACCAAACCUAUUUGAUUUCGGAUUUCACAGGUCGAAUUGAUCUACCUAAUAUCUAUAUAGCAUCUCUUAUCUCAGUUUCCUUAUAGAAGAACCCUAACUUGGUCGCCAUUUAUUCUCUCCUUGAAUUCUCCCCCUCUCUCUUAAACAAUCUAAACGAACCCUAGUUUUUUUCUCUCUCAAUCUUCUAGGAAAUUGGCCACCACCGCACCUCUUGAUUAACGGCUGCUAGAAAUUCGUCAGCUCCUUCCACUGCCUCCUUUUCCAAGGAAGUCUUCUUCCAUUUGAAAUUUUAUUUUCAGUUUUUCUUAUUUCGUAAGGUAUUUCGUUGCUAUACCACCAACACUCCAUCAACCACCACCAUAAUCGCUCCCCCUUCCAUCGACCAUCACCAUUAGGUACAGAGCCCACAAUGACCUUCACCACCGUCGUCACAGGCCACUAUUGACAAAUCCAUAACCACCACCAAACAUCUAGAAGCACGAUUGCAGAUAAAGUUUUUUUUUUAUAUUUUCUAUUUUGAAGUUUCUUGUUAUCUAUUUUGUAGUGGUUGAAUGUUCAGUUCUUAAAAAAAUCGGGAAAUUCAAGAUCUUCAUUGGGAUGUUUAAGACCGGUGUAGUAAGAUUUUACUAUUUUGAUAAUGAAAUUUUCAAAAUGGAAUUUCUGUUCUUAGAUUUUUCAGCUACUAAGGUGGGUGGUUUAAAAAAUUUUCUAUAGUUUCUUAUCAUUGUUGAUACUUUAAGGGUGUAUGUAAAUUGUUCGAUGAAAUGCAUAUUGGGGGUAAGGUAUUGUUUUAUUUUCAUUGAUUUCUGUUGUCUUACCUUCAAGUUGAAACCUUUUACUUACUGGACGAAUUUUUUACUAGCAAAAAUCCAUAAACAACAUGGAUAUGCUCAUGAUGACACUUUCGAGGAUUCACUGGAAAGAGGUUCACUUAUAAAACAAAUAUGGAGAAGUUGGAUUGUAUACAUGGGACAAACUUGAGGAAAGUUAACUUAUAAAGAAUACUUGGCUGUUUUUUCUUUAAAGUGUUAUUUCCUCUGAAUUUUUUGUAUACAUGAUUGACCUUUUUUCCACUAAUUGUGAUAAAUGACCAAGCUGGUUGAUAUUGUGAUGAAUCCCCUAAAGUCUAAUUGCAUAUUAGGUAAGUAAUGCUACUGGCUUGACUGAAGUUUAGUUGGUUAUUGAAUAGUAUGUUGGCGUUUUUGCUGAAGUAUUCAAGGUUCAUUGCUAUAUUGGUUUGCAUGCAAAUUAUAUUUGAAGAAGACAUCAAAGUUCAUUUCCCAUUUCCGGUUUCAGCCAGAGCAUUCUCUAAGAGAGAAAUAAAUGAUUAACUCCAAAAAAUGAUUAAAGAUAAGUAAAGCUAAAAUGCAAUCGGUGGGUCAUACAUCAAAACUUUACUAUUCUAAAGCUAUGUUGAAUCUAUAUGAUUUCGCAUAUAAUACAUGGUUCUGUUUGAACUUUUUAAUGGUUUAUUUGUAUAUACACUUUGUAUUUAACCUUAUUAUUAAUUUUGUUGGGUUGAUUUA